GAUGAACGCUGGCGGCGUGCCUAAUACAUGCAAGUCGAGCGAACAGACGAGGAGCUUGCUCCUCUGACGUUAGCGGCGGACGGGUGAGUAACACGUGGAUAACCUACCUAUAAGACUGGGAUAACUUCGGGAAACCGGAUCUAAUACCGGAUAAUAUAUUGCACCGUAUGGUUCAAUAGUGAAAGACGGCUUUGCUGUCACUUAUAGAUGGAUCCGCGCCGCAUUAGCUAGUUGGUAAGGUAACGGCUUACCAAGGCAACGAUGCGUAGCCGACCUGACGGGGUGAUCGGCCACACUGGAACUGAGACGCGGUCCAGACUCCUACGAGAGGCAGCAGUAGGGAAUCUUCCGCAAUGGGCGAAAGCCUGACGGAGCAACGCCGCGUGAGUGAUGAAGGUCUUCGGAUCGUAAAACUCUGUUAUUGGGGAAGAACAAAUGUGUAAGUAACUAUGCACGUCUUGACGGUACCUACUCAGAAAGCCACGGCUAACUACGUG
rnacentral:rRNA from 1 species